AACGGCCGUACCAUGCUGAAUAUACCGGUUCUCGUUAGAUCACCGAAGUCAAGCAUCAUUGGGCGCGGUCAGUACUUGGGUGGGGGCACCUGGGAACACCGCAUGCCGUU
rnacentral:rRNA from 1 species